CAGCCGCCGCGGUAAUACGUAGGGUGCAAGCGUUAAUCGGAAUUACUGGGCGUAAAGCGUGCGCAGGCGGUUAUAUAAGACAGAUGUGAAAUCCCCGGGCUCAACCUGGGAACUGCAUUUGUGACUGUAUAGCUAGAGUACGGCAGAGGGGGAUGGAAUUCCGCGUGUAGCAGUGAAAUGCGUAGAUAUGCGGAGGAACACCGAUGGCGAAGGCAAUCCCCUGGGCCUGUACUGACGCUCAUGCACGAAAGCCUGGGGAGCAAACAGGAUUAGAUACCCCCGUAGUCCCUGUCUCUUAUAC
rnacentral:rRNA from 1 species